UGGUGCAAGCCACCCAUGCUCCGGCUCCUCUGGAGCUCGGUCCCCUCACUGGCUGCCUUGAGAUGUCCAGGGGCCACUCCUGAGGGCAGGGCCCCAGGGCCUGGCCGGUGCCUCCUGUGUGUGGUUGGAUCCUUCUCCAUUCUGCCUGCGGGAGGAGGGAGCUGUGGCCUGCACAGCCUCACACUGAGGGCAUUGCUGCCCCUCUCUCCCUGUCGUCCCUGCUCCAGGGAGUCGCCAGAAUGGGGGUGGUUGUCGCGGAGCUGCUGUGACAUCACUGCAGGUCAGGGGUCAAGGGUCAGCAGGCCCAGCCCAGAGCAGCCUUCCCACCAGCCAGGGCUUGGAGCAGGGCUCGGCUGCCUGGGUUUCUCCUGCAGAUGAGGGAACCCGGCAGCCGGAUGAGGCUCAUUCCAGCACCUCAUAUUACCUCCGGCCUCCGCCAAGGCCUGCUUCCACAUGGAGCCUCUGAGGUGCUGGGUGUGGGGUCUUCAACAUGUGACUUGGGGGCACAUUCAGCCCAGUGCAGCCCCACAGGAGAGCCCUGCUCCUCUGCUCCAGCUGGCCACACAGAGCAGGGGUAGGGAGGGAAGCCGCCCUGCACCUGGAGGGCUGGGUGGGUGAGGCUGUGGAUCCCACUGAGGCAGGUCCUGGGGAGGAGUAGGCAUGCAGCACCCUUGCCUGACACCAGGGGGCCCAGAGGUGGGGCUGUUCCCGGGGCAGAGGGAGAGCUUGGUGUCACGGGGCGCAGUGGGGGAGCAGUGGGAAGACCAGGAUCCGCUGGACCAGGUCUGUGUGGGCGUGCGGUCCUCCAGAAACUGCUGCUGGGGCCUCAUCUUCUCCUGGGAGGGGGAGGUCAGAGUACCUUCCUUGCUGGUUUUUUAAAGUGCCUUGGGCUCAAAAUAACUCUUCUGCCCAAGGAGCUUACUUUGAGGGGCUUGUUCUGCACCCCCGGGACCCGCUGAUGCCCAUACCUCCUAACCACCAGCUUACCCAGGGUGAGGCUCAUGGCACCUGGAGGAAGCAAGGGAGCCUCCACACACGGGUCCUCCUGGGGCGGCCUGGAGCCUCUUGCGUCCCAGAGGCCACAGGUCACUGGCCCAAGGCUAGUGAGCAAGAGGAAUGAGCAGAAGGACGGGUCUCCCAGGAGCCUCUGUACCCCUCCUGGGGAACACGGGGCCUUUAGGGCAUCUCCUUCCUCCAGGGCCAGCCUCCUACCUCCGUGUUCCUUCUCACCCUGACUCUGAUUUCAUACACCCCAGUGUGAACUGGGUCCUCUGGUCCUGGUGCUGCCCAGAGCCCAGCCCGGGAUGCUCACCAGGGCUGAAAAGAGGCCACGCCCUCCCUGCCCCACCCCCCGACCUCCUGUGGAUGGAGGAGGCCAACCAGGGACAAUCCAGCCUCCGCCUUUUGGGCACAGUCCUGAGCCACUUGAUGACUCCCAAGAAAUGUCUGACUUGAGUCCCAGAGGCAGACCCAAGACCUUCCUCCUGAUGGAGCCAACCGAUGGAAUUAAAAAGAGAGAGGGAAACCCAAUGGAGAGAAGGAAGAAAUAAAGAAAGCAGAAGCAACUCA